AGGUCAAGCAAUAAGGGCACAGGGCGGAUGCCUUGGCACUAAGAGCCGAUGAAAGAC
rnacentral:rRNA from 1 species